rnacentral:tRNA from 1 species
GGGUCCUUGGUCCAGGACUCGGGGCGACGGGCGUAUCGGGCCGGGCGAGAGGUUCGACGCCUCAGAUCCCC